UGGUGGAGUGAUUUGUCUGGUUAAUUCCGUUAACGAACGAGACCUCGACCUACUAAAUAGUAGUUGAAAUCUCUGGAUUUCCAAUUAACUUCUUAGAGGGACUAUCGGUGGUGUACCCGAUGGAAGUUCGAGGCAAUAACA
rnacentral:rRNA from 1 species